rnacentral:rRNA from 1 species
UACGGAGGGUCCAAGCGUUAUCCGGAUUUAUUGGGCUUAAAGGGUGCGUAGGCGGCUUUUUAAGUCAGGGGUGAAAGACGGUAGCUCAACUAUCGCAGUGCCCUUGAUACUGAAGAGCUUGAAUGGACUAGAGGUAGGCGGAAUGUGACAAGUAGCGGUGAAAUGCAUAGAUAUGUCACAGAACACCGAUUGCGAAGGCAGCUUACUAUGGUUUAAUUGACGCUGAGGCACGAAAGCGUGGGGAUCAAACAGG